AUGGCUCAGAACGAACGCUGGCGGCGCGUUUAAGCAUGCAAGUCGAGCGGCAAGGGCCUUCGGGCCCCUAGAGCGGCGGACGGGUGAGUAACACGUGGACAAUCUGCCCCCCGGCCCGGGAUAGCCCAGGGAAACCUGGAUUAAUACCGGAUGAGACGGGACCUGCGAUGGCGGGAUCCGGGAAAGGCGCUACGGCGCCGCCGGGGGAUGAGUCUGCGUCCCAUUAGCUAGACGGCGGGGUAACGGCCCACCGUGGCGACGAUGGGUAGCCGGCCUGAGAGGGUGGACGGCCACAUUGGAACUGAGACACGGUCCAGACUCCUACGGGAGGCAGCAGCUAAGAAUCUUCCGCAAUGGGCGAAAGCCUGACGGAGCGACGCCGCGUGAACGAAGAAGGCCGUGAGGUUGUAAAGUUCUUUUCGGGAGGGGGAACAACCGUGGCAGGGAAUGGCCGCGGGAUGACGUGAAUCCCGGAAUAAGCCCCGGCUAACUACGUGCCAGCCGCCGC
rnacentral:rRNA from 1 species